rnacentral:piRNA from 1 species
UGAACAGUGAAGCAGAACUUU